CCUGCUCAGUGAACGCUAGCGACAGGCCUAACACAUGCAAGUCGAGGGGUAGCACAGAAUAGCUUGCUAUUUGGGUGACGACCGGCGCACGGGUGAGUAACGCGUAUGCAACCUGCCUAUAAGAGGGGGAUAGCCUUUCGAAAGAAAGAUUAAUACCGCAUAAUACUAUUUACCUGCAUGGGUAGAUAGUUAAACUAAUUGGCUUAUAGAUGGGCAUGCGUUCCAUUAGAUAGUUGGUGAGGUAACGGCUCACCAAGUCAGCGAUGGAUAGGGGUUCUGAGAGGAAGGUCCCCCACACUGGUACUGAGACACGGACCAGACUCCUACGGGAGGCAGCAGUGAGGAAUAUUGGUCAAUGGGCGAGAGCCUGAACCAGCCAAGUCGCGUGAAGGAUGAAGGUCUUAUGGAUUGUAAACUUCUUUUAUAAGGGAAUAAAAAAGAUCACGUGUGGUCUAUUGCAUGUACCUUAUGAAUAAGCAUCGCUAACUCC
rnacentral:rRNA from 1 species